rnacentral:rRNA from 1 species
GAUGAACGCUGGCGGCGUGCCUAAUACAUGCAAGUCGAGCGAACAGACUAGGAGCUUGCUCCUCUGACGUUAGCGGCGGACGGGUGAGUAACACGUGGAUAACCUACCUUUAAGACUGGGAUAACUUCGGGAAACCGGAGCUAAUACCGGAUAAUAUCUUUAACCGCAUGGUUCAAUAGUGAAAGACGGUUUUGCUGUCACUUAUAGAUGUAUCCGCGCCGCAUUAGCUAGUUGGUAAGGUAACGGCUUACCAAGGCGACGAUGAGUAGCCGACCUGAGAGGGUGUUCGGCAACACUGGAACUGAGACACGGUCCAGACUCCUACGGGAGGAAGCAGUAGGGAAUCUUCCGAAAAGGGCGAAAGCCUGACGGAGAAACGCGGCGUGAGUGAGGAAGGUCUUCGGAUCUAAAAACUCUGUUAUUAGGGAAGAACAAAUGUGGAAGUAACUAUGCACGACUUGACGGUAACUAAUCAGAAAGCCACGGCUAACUACGUG